UACGAAGGGGGCGGGCGUUGUUCGGAUUUACUGGGCGUAAAGCGUGCGCAGGCGGCUUUGCAAGACAGAUGUGAAAUCCCCGGGCUUAACCUGGGAACUGCAUUUGUGACUGCAUGGCUGGAGUGCGGCAGAGGGGGAUGGAAUUCCGCGUGUAGCAGUGAAAUGCGUAGAUAUCCGGAAGAACACCGGUGGCGAAGGCGGCUCGCUGGGCUCUUGCUGACACUGAACCGCGACAGCGUGGGGAGCAAACAGG
rnacentral:rRNA from 1 species